GGGCUGCUAGUUUAACGGGAAAACAGUCGGUUUGCACCCAACAGUUCAGGGUUCAAUUCCCUGGCGGUCCA
rnacentral:tRNA from 2 species